UACGAAGGGGGGCUAGCGUUGUUCGGAUUUACUGGGCGUAAAGCGCACGUAGGCGGAUUGUUAAGUCAGGGGGUGAAAUCCCGGAGCUCAACUCCGGAACUGCCUUUGAUACUGGCAAUCUUGAGGCUGGAAGAGGUUAGUGGAAUUCCCAGUGUAGAGGUGAAAUUCGUAGAUAUUGGGAAGAACACCAGUGGCGAAGGCGGCUAACUGGUCCAGAUCUGACGCUGAGGUGCGAAAGCGUGGGGAGCAAACAGG
rnacentral:rRNA from 1 species